GUAAAGGAACUUUUGUAAAUAGGCCUUUAGUAACGUGGUGGUGAGGUGUGGAGUGAGAGGAAGUGUUCUAUAGUCCUCAGAUUAGAGCUCAGUCAUUUGGUGAGCCUGUCUCUGGACUGUGAACUUUAUAAGAGUUUCUCAGUUUUUUUUCCUCUUAGAUGAGACAGGAUGGCUGGAGUGCGCUGGAGUUGGAUAGUUUCCUUCUCCCAGGUGGAAGACAAGAGCAGGCCAGAAUUGGGUAUUUCCCUUCCCCCAGGUCACUUCGGCUCUGAUAAUAUCCCAGCAGGUUAGGAUCUGGUUAACUAGUUUCCACUGAGGCAGGCCUUGUUAAGAAAAGGCAUAGGGGCUGGCCUGAUUGCACAGUGGUUGAGUUUGUGUGCUCUGCUUCAGGUGCCCACAGUUUGCAGGUUCAGAUCCUGGGCACAGACGUAGCACCACUUGUCAAGCCACCCUGUAGUCGCAUCCCACAAAAUAGAGGAAGGUUGGCACAGAUGUUAGGUCAGUGACAAUCUUCCUCGCCUCACACACACGCAAAAAAGAUUACACUGGCAUAUUUCAAAAUGGUUCUUUUUUCCCCUCCCCCUACUGGAAGCACAAAGGAGAUUUUUCUCCAGUAUAUACUGUGGGAAUCUGGUUGAGCUCCUGGAGGUGAAUCUCACAGUAUUGUUGGGUUGGGGAGGUCCCCCUUUGAUUGAGUCCACCUGGGGAGUUUUUAACUCUUAGCGUUGUCCUCAUUGAGCCUCCAACAAUUCAUCAACUUUAGUUCUGGGUUUUCUUCCCGGCGCUGCUUCCUGCAGUGGUAUUGGCUCCUGAUUCUCUGCUCAGAAUUCCAUCCUGCGGGUCUACUUUCCAGAGCUGGCUGUUGUACCCAGGGGGCUCCUAGAAAGCAGAGAGCAACAAAAGGGCUUCUGAAAAAAAAAGACCGAUAUAGAAAAAGUUGUACCAGAGGAGCUCAUGCUCAUCUUGACCUGAUUAGAUGAUGAUUUCUGCACUUCAAGCUAAUUCCAUAAUAAGUUUAGCCCUGAGCUAACAUCUGUUGCCAAUCUUCCUUUUUUUGCUUGAAGAAGAUAGUCGCUGAGCUGACAUCUGUGCCCAUCUUCUCCAAUUUUAUGUGGGAUGCUGCCACAGUGUGGCUUGACUAGCAGUGCUAGGUAUGUGCCCAGGAUACCAACCUGCAAACACCAGGUGCUGAAACAGAGUGUGCAAACCCAACCACUAUGCCACCUGAAGAUUGACUUUUAAAUGCUGUGUUCAAACAAGGCAUAAAAACAUUGUAUGCAAAGUGGAAAUAUCGGCAGAAGCGGGUGAAACUGGCAAAUUUGAAAGAUGAAAGGUGGCAAAUAAAACUGCCAAGAGAAAGAGGAUGAAGAGAUCCUUGCUGAAGGCAACAACGGAGAGGAUAGCGAUGCAAGAAGAAUCAUGAACAUUGCCUAAACCAGGACUGACUUCCUGCUUUGAGCUAGAUCUUGUUAUGGUAUUACAGUAAACAGUGAAAUAGGUAUUUCACAACACCUACAACCACUCCCUAUUAAAAUAUUUUCCUUCUGUUCCUUUAUUCUCUAUCUUGAACAUUAAUAGAUGAUAAUCAAGUACUAUUUUAUUUUUGUUGGGUUCAACUCCAUUCUUUUCUCAACAGUUCAAGGAGUUCUUCACAUACACAAUCAUAUUUCAUGUGUGUGAGAGUGGGAGUGUAUGAGAUACUUCCCAGGUAUCAAAUUUUAUCCUCAUGCUCUGACCCCAUUUUUUGCCUGGUUAGUGACAAAAAUAAAAAGUAUGGCCAGGGGCUGGCCCCGUGGCCGAGUGGUGAAGUUGGCACACUCUGCUUCGCUGGCCCAGGAUUCGGAUCCUUGGCGCAGACGUGGCAUGCACGGCUCGUCAGGCCAUGCUGAGUUGGCAUCCCACAU
ensembl:lncRNA